ACGCUUCCCAUUUGCAUCGCGAGCUUCAUUCGACGCCAUUUGUAAAAUUCCAUCUGAUGGUGCUGGAUCACUCGCGUGUUACUGUGCAACUAAUAUCGUAAAAAAAGCCAAAUUGUUUCCUACGUUUGGAGGACCUGUUUUCCGCUGGCGAAACCGCUACUGCAUGUUUUCUACUGCCGCUGCUUCCAGUUGUCCGCUGACGCUGCUUCCUGCUGCCGCUGCUUCCUAUUGUCCGCUGCCGCUGCUUCCUGUUGCCCGUUGCCGCUGCCGCAACAUCCGGUUUUCCACUGCCGCUGCUUCCAGUUGUCCGCUGACGCUGCUUCCUGUUGCCUUCUGCCGCUGCCGCAACAUUCGGUUUUUCACUGGCGCUGCUUCCAGUUGGCCGCCGUCUCCGGAAAACAUCGACCAUCCGUAAACUGCUUAGUUCGGAUAAUCAAGAUCAGCUGCAUUCGCUGUGCGGAAAGAAAACCUAUAUUUGUCCGCUAGUGACACUAUCACUACCUCACGGCAAUGGAACGCCUUAAGAACAAGCUUGAUACUGGAAGCUACAAUAAGCUAACUGAUUAUACAAGCAUUUGACAGAAUACAGCAGAAGUCUGUUGAUGGUGAUCUUAAAACACUCUUACUCACUGGAUUACUUUAUGAAGAAAGUAUGUGGCAUGAUGUAGAAGAAGAAUACGUUCGAGGAGCCUUACGUAUAAUGAAAAAACUGUCGAACAGAGGCAUAAAAAGGACGCCAGCGAUGGAAAACAUUCCAACGGAUGAAAUUUUUGCCACCCCAUAAGUGAAAUGGAUGAACUUCGCGGCCACCGACGCAGGAUUCGACGAAUCGUUAGCGGUGAAAGGAUUCGUUGGAGAGCGAAUCAUGGAACUUCACAUCAUUUGCGUGGCUAAUCGUUAUAAACGAGGAAAUUUGUACGUGGUCAUCGAACACCACGUAAUCUUUUGUGGGAUGAUAAGCCUCUGAGCUAUCGAGGUGCUUCUCAAAAGUUUCACCGUUUUUGCAAUCAAUGUUCCAGCCCCUUGGCGAAAAUUUGAUGAUAUGGUGGCAAUUAACGUGUUCCACACAAAGGAUACCAGCAAGAAAAACACAGUUAAUCAUUUAAGUUCAAGGUUUCAGGAGUUCGUGAAGAAAUCUUCUGAAGAUUAAGUUUACAGGGUCAAAUUUCAAUUUUUGUAUUGCAGACAGCGUAAAAUUCUAAAAAAAAACCAGAUGAUUGCAUUUCGAUCUACUGUGAAGUAUUUGUCCCUUUGUAUCGAUACACUUAUAAGCGAUAGAAGAACUGAUAUUCAGCGCUAUCAGGGUUUGAUUUUUAACAUGUGUUUCCGUGUUUUAUGAACUAUUGUUAAUUAUUUUAUAUAACAGACCACACAAAUAAGCUUUGAUUCGAUAGACGAAACUGAUCACGAAACAUUGAUACAAAUAAUAAGUAAAAUUUUAUUAAUGCUAGAA